rnacentral:rRNA from 1 species
UACAGAGGGUGCAAGCGUUGUUCGGAAUUAUUGGGCGUAAAGCGCGUGUAGGCGGCUUUGCAAGUCGGGUGUGAAAGCCCUCAGCUCAACUGAGGAAGUGCGCCCGAAACUGCAGAGCUUGAGUGCCGGAGAGGGUGGCGGAAUUCCCCAAGUAGAGGUGAAAUUCGUAGAUAUCGGGAGGAACACCGGUGGCGAAGGCGGCGACCUGGGUGGAUACUGACGCUGAGGUGCGAAAGCGUGGGGAGCAAACAGG